rnacentral:rRNA from 1 species
UACGUAGGGCGCAAGCGUUGUCCGGAAUUAUUGGGCGUAAAGAGCUCGUAGGCGGUCUGUUACGUCUGCUGUGAAAACCCAGGGCUUAACCCUGGGCUUGCAGUGGAUACGGGCAGACUAGAGUGCGGUAGGGGUGACUGGAAUUCCUGGUGUAGCGGUGGAAUGCGCAGAUAUCAGGAGGAACACCGAUGGCGAAGGCAGGUCACUGGGCCGCAACUGACGCUGAGGAGCGAAAGCAUGGGGAGCGAACAGG